rnacentral:rRNA from 1 species
CGUCAGCUCGUGUCGUGAGAUGUUGGGUUAAGUCCCGCAACGAGCGCAACCCCUAUUGUUAGUUGCUACGCAAGAGCACUCUAGCGAGACUGCGUUGACAAAACGGAGGAAGGUGGGGACGACGUCAAAUCAUCAUGCCCCUUAUGUCCUGGGCUACACACGUAAUACAAUGGCGGUCAACAGAGGGAUGCAAAACCGUAAGGUGGAGCGAACCCCUAAAAGCCGUCCCAGUUCAGAUCGUGGGCUGCAACCCGCCCACG